UACACACACAGUCGGGCCACAUGUUCAGCAGCCAGCCUGUUGAAUCCACCACAGAUGAACCUACUGAACUGUGUAUAGAAAGACCAGGCAGCUGACGCCUGGUUGUGAGCAGAGAGCUAGAUGUGAAGCAAAGCAGAAGUCACAGUCCACGCAACAAGAGAUCCUGAUCAGAAAUCAACUGAAAUCAACAUUUCUUGGACCUCAGCAGCACAGGACUUGACCCUGAACAGCAGGAAAGAUGGAGUGCAGCAGGGAUCCAAACGGCUACAGCUUGACAUUGGUCAAACCAAGGCCUCCUCCAUCAACACAAAGCCAGACAGACUCUUUCCUGACCGCAGCCCGGUUGGCCCGUGAAGGACUGCUGGAGGACGGAAAAGCAGGACGGCAGUUUUCUGCUCUUAGACAGUCUCCUUCUUCACAAGAAAACCAUGGUGUUGUCUUGAAAGACCUGAGGAUCAGGCGGUACACCGUCAUCUCAAGGAGGAAGAUGGAAAAAGACAGAAAGACGGACAAUGAAGAGGGAAAGCAAACCCUUCAAGGUGCCUCCUCACCAAAAACAGAAGUAGAGAGACAGAAAGUGUGUUUGAGUCCAUCUGGCUGUCGUUUCACAUGUAGACAACCUGGAAGGUUUAAAGUUGCAAUAUUACCAGUAAUAGCGGAAAUUUAGGCAACACUACAGUCAGGGUUCCAGACUUGUUGGUAAAUUUGUGGUUUUGAGGUCUGAAAAACACCUGAAGACUAAUGUUUGGUUAUUCCUAACAUCAGCACUAUCUAGUUUAAGAGAAAGUCUUUGUGUAAGGGUAUUAGAUUAAGCACUUGACUUAAGUACUGAGACUACAGGACAUAGCCAUCAACCUUUUAUUAAAUACAUCACCUGAAGUCAGCAGUUUGUAUUUGACUGUUUUCCAACUAAGACACAGUGGCUUCUAGGGUGCUGCGGUGGUGCAGGGGCAAAGCAUGACCCACAUAUUGAGGCCUUGGUCCUUGUGGUGGUGGUCACAGGUUUGAUUCCCAGCCUGGCAACAUAAAGACCACUAGAGCCAAUAAAACCUUUAAACAAAAAAACACUGGCUUCACCUUGCAAACUUAAGAAAGUGGAACUGACACGCAUAAUUUCAGGGAGAAAAACAUUUAUAUUUGAACACAUUUCCAUCUAUUGGAAAACACUGACAUCUAGUGGCCGUAAGUGGAAGUUCAUGUGCACAAGAUUUUUCCCCUUAUCAACCUGUAAUUAAUAUAUUUUAUUUAGAUAGUAGCACAUUAUUGUAUGUGGAACGGAACUGCAUUUUUUUUUUUUUUUUACAUUUUUGUCAUUAAAAAGAACCUGAAAAGUG